rnacentral:miRNA from 1 species
AAAAAAGAAAAAAAAGAACC